UUUUAUGGAGAGUUUGAUCCUGGCUCAGAGUGAACGCUGGCGGCGUGCCUAAUACAUGCAAGUCGAACGGACAAGUAAGAGCUUGCUCUU
rnacentral:rRNA from 1 species